AUGACGAUCCUGAGCUGGAACUGUCGAGGCCUCGGGCAACCUCGCACAGUUCAGGAACUUGUGUGUCUCGUACACACGUACAAGCCCAAGCUCGUCUUCCUCUCUGAAACACGGCAAAAGAAUAAAUAUGUCAGCAACCUGAAGUGGAGGCUUGGCCUCCGUCACAGUAUCACGCAACCCGGCAUUGGUAAAGGUGUCGGCAUUGCCCUCUUUUAUGAUGAGAGUAUUGAAAUAAAAAAGAUUGUCGUGGGGGCGAGAUAUAUUGAUGUGUUAGUUCGUAUGAAUCCUCAUGGGCUCCAAUGGUGGGCUACCUUUGUCUAUGGUGAACCCAAAGCGCAUGAACGCCACCACAUGUGGACUCUAUUAAGAAGGAUCAAAGAUACCUCUAAUCUUCCAUGGCUUAUGAUUGGUGAUUUUAACGAGACUAUGUGGCAAUCUGAGCAUGUUUCGUCCUCAAAAAGAUCAGAGAAACAUAUGGAAAACUUUAGGAGUGUGCUUUCAGACCGCAAUCUCUUUGAUGUGGGCUUCAAGGGGCCGGUUUGGACCUAUAACAAUAAACAGGAAGGUAUGAAAAAUGUUCGGGCGCGCUUGGACAGAGGAGUUGCUUCACCCGAGUGGUUGGACUACUACAAAGAGGCUAGGGUGGAACAUAUUUGCUCUUCAUGCUCAGACCACCUUCCUAUCCUGCUGCGGCUU
rnacentral:rRNA from 1 species